UUACGGCCACAUCACGUUGAAACAUCGGUUCCCGUACGAUCACUGAAGUUAAGCAUCGUCGAGCCUGAUCAAUAUAUAGAUGGAUGGCCGCUUGGGAAUACCAGGUGUUGUGA